GGUUUUGGCUCAGGGGUUGGGGCAGGGGUGGGCUUUACUCUUUGUGGGUUCGGAGACUUCGGGUGCGCAGGCAUUUCCCGGGCAUCGCGCCCCAGCCUGUGACAGAAUUGGAAGUGUUCCUCUGCCUGCUCGCCUGCGAGGGGGAGGAUCGCAGGGCUGCGGCCGCAGGAGAGAGAUUUGGACCUAGUGAAAGGACGUCGCCCCUUAGUCCCAGCUAUGGACUCCACAGCAUCAGGCCCAGGAGCAUGAAGUAUCAGUGUCCAGACACCGUGGUAGAAGUGGACGGGAUGGCCACGGAAGACUUCCCAAAGGCCAGAGGAGAGCGGGUUCUCCCUUCUCAGGACCCUGCUCUUCCUCCAGAGAGAUACCCAGGAGAAAAGGGAACAGCCAGUUUAUUCCUGAAAGCCAGGCCCCAGGUGAGUUGAGGUUCUCUUCGUUUUUCCUCAAAUGACUGAACUACGGAUGUCUUUGCCCCC
rnacentral:lncRNA from 1 species